GAGUUUGAUCCUGGCUCAGAAUCAACGCUGGCGGCGUGCCUAACACAUACAAGUCGAACGCGAAAGUCCCGCAAGGGAUCAGUAGAGUGGCAAACGGGUGAGUAACGCGUGGGCGAUCUACCUUCGAGUGGGGGAUAACCUUCCGAAAGGAGGGCUAAUACCGCAUGACAUCCCAUGUUUGGAUACAUGGACAUCAAGGCCGGGGAUCGUAAGACCUGGCGCUUGAAGAGGAGCCCGCGUCCGAUUAGCUAGUUGGUGAGGUAACGGCUCACCAAGGCUCCGAUCGGUAUCCGGCCUGAGAGGGCGGACGGACACACUGGAACUGAGACACGGUCCAGACUCCUACGGGAGGCAGCAGUGGGGAAUUGUUCGCAAUGGGCGCAAGCCUGACGACGCAACGCCGCGUGGAGGAUGAAGACCUUCGGGUCGUAAACUCCUUUCGACCGAGAUGAACGUCCCACGACCUAACACGUCGUGGGAGUGACAGUAUCGAGGGAAGAAGCCCCGGCUAACUCUGUGCCAGCAGCCGCGGUAAUACAGGGGGGGCUAGCGUUGCUCGGAAUUACUGGGCGUAAAGGGUUCGUAGGUGGCCGGCUAAGUCAGACGUGAAAUCCCUCAGCUUAACUGGGGAACUGCGUCUGAUACUGGUCGGCUUGAGUGCGGGAGAGGAACGCGGAAUUCCAGGUGUAGCGGUGAAAUGCGUAGAUAUCUGGAGGAACACCGGUGGCGAAGGCGGCGUUCUGGACUGCAACUGACACUGAGGAACGAAAGCCAGGGGAGCAAACGGGAUUAGAUACCCCGGUAGUCCUGGCCCUAAACGAUGAAUGCUUGGUGUGGCGGGUAUCGAUCCCUGCCGUGCCGAAGUUAACGCGUUAAGCAUUCCGCCUGGGGAGUACGGUCGCAAGCUGAAACUCAAAGGAAUUGACGGGGCCCGCAC
rnacentral:rRNA from 1 species